rnacentral:lncRNA from 1 species
UUCCAUCUUUUUGAUUAGUUAUUCAAAAAACAUGCAAGGCUAAACUCGUUUUCUUGGUUGCAAGGACACGGAAACCUUCGGAUUUUAAGAACUGUGAGAUUUAUUUUACCUUUUCUUUUCAGUUUAUAUGAUGAAUAUGUUUGUUCUCCUAUGCUUAUUUUUCCUAUGAUUGUUUAUUUUAAUUGCUAGAGCGGACUCUAAGUUUUUAUUGUAGACAAUCUAUUGCUAAGUUUGAUAUCAAAACCGAAGUUGUGGUAUAUGAACUUGUGAAGCAACUGAGUUUAAUAAUUGUGGCGGAUCUACGUUAUUAAUCUUAGGGAGAACAUUCAAUCAAAUCA